rnacentral:lncRNA from 1 species
UUUCUAAACAGCAGACUUUAAUCAUGUCAAUCCCUGAUAUUGCACCGAGUUAUCAAUUGGAGAGCAGCUUUCACUGAUGUGAAUGGAUAAUCUCUCUGGCACCACUAUGAUGGGUUAGGGCAGAAGAGUCCUACUCGUAUGGAUUAGUCUGAGCCUGUUUGUGAGUUUCCAUACAGUCGCAGGGUACAGAGAGC